rnacentral:pre_miRNA from 1 species
CUUGUACUCCCUCCGUCCAAAAAUACUUGUCGGAGAAAUGGAUGUAUCUAGACAUAUUUAAGUUCUAGAUACAUCCAUUUUUAUAUAUUUCUCUGACAAGUAUUUCCGGACGGAGGGAGUAUCAA